rnacentral:rRNA from 1 species
GACGAACGCUGGCGGCGUGCCUAAUACAUGCAAGUUGAGCGCUGAAGGUUGGUACUUGUACCCACUGGAUGAGCAGCGAACGGGUGAGUAACGCGUGGGGAAUCUGCCUUUGAGCGGGGGACAACAUUUGGAAACGAAUGCUAAUACCGCAUAAAAACUUUAAACACAAGUUUUAAGUUUGAAAGAUGCAAUUGCAUCACUCAAAGAUGAUCCCGCGUUGUAUUAGCUAGUUGGUGAGGUAAAGGCUCACCAAGGCGAUGAUACAUAGCCGACCUGAGAGGGUGAUCGGCCACAGUGGGACUGAGACACGGCCCAAACUCCUACGGGAGGCAGCAGUAGGGAAUCUUCGGCAAUAGACGAAAGUCUGACCGAGCAACGCCGCGUGAGUGAAGAAGGUUUUCGGAUCGUAAAACUCUGUUGGUAGAGAAGAACGUUGGUGAGAGUGGAAAGCUCAUCAAGUGACGGUAACUACCCAGAAAGGGACGGCUAACUACGUG